AGAUGUGUUUCAAGGAGCAGAAUGCUCCUCAACAGCACAGACAUUUUGUUUUCACACCUGUUCAGACAGCUUCUACUGUGAUUGUGUAAUGACAGUGCCCCUUUUUGGAAUACUUGUUGACUGCUCAUACCACAGGCAGCACACCUGGGAUCUCCACAGUGCUGAGAAACCCCACUGAAAUUCCCCUUCAUUUUUCUUCCCUACCAAGGAGGUGACUUCUCAGGAGGGACUGCUGCUGUUCUUGGAGGGAGGAGGUCUGGGUUCCCAGAUCUCCAGUUUGGGGCCCUCAGCUCUAAAAAAAU